rnacentral:misc_RNA from 1 species
GAAAAACUGAAUUAAGGCCUCCCUUUCGAAGCUUCCCACUCUAGCUCGCUUUCUCUGUGCGGCUGUGGCUUUGGUUUCCUUCCCAACCAAGCAAAACCCAGAACAAACCCGCACCCUAAGCGGACAAAUAUUCAGCGUAUACGUACACCAAAUCUUCCAAUCGGGAGAAGAAAACUUUUAAUCCGUAGUAAUCCGAUCUCUCGCACCAUAUCGUCGUUCAUGUCGCCGGCGCCGGUGGAUGUUCGGCCUUCCCUUACCUCCAAUCCUUCAUCUCUUCAAAACCCUAGUUUUGAUUCUUUUUCUCUGAACAGUUUCUCAGAUGAUAAUCAACAAAGCAUAAAGUCCCCAAUUUUUACUAUCCCAAAUGAAUUCGGCGAUCAUGGCGGCCUCGCUUGUAGGAAUGGUUUGCGAACAGGGUCUGUGGCGUCGAGCCGAACUCGCCCGAGGUUUGUGAAGGUGAGGAAACAGUUGCAUGUGAAGUCGCAGGGGGUAUCAGGCGAGUUCGGCCUGGGUUUUAACCCUUUUCAUUCGGGUGUUGAGAGUUCGAGUCGUAGUAACGAUUAUAGCAGUAGUUCAAAUGAGGUUUUAGAGAAAUGUAAGUCAAAUGGGGUUGAUUGUUCAAAUGUGAUUUUUGUUUUCGGUGCUAGUAGCAGUAGUUCUACAUCCAAUUUGACUGCCACCAUGAAUUUGGAUUCUGGGGAGAGAGUAUUUGAUGCUAGUGGAGAAGAAUUGAGUUCCAAAGUGCGGCCUGUGAAAUCUGACGAUAUUGGUUUUGUGUUUAACGAUAAGCAGUGGCACUUCAAUGACAACGAGGGAAAAUCAGUUUCAAAAGCAGCGAAUGGGAAGCUUGACAGUGAAUCUUGUGUGUUUGGAAAUAAGCAGAGGCAAUUAAGUGAAAAUGAGGGAAAACCAAUUUCAAACGCUGACAAUGGGAAGCUUCAUAGUGUUGGUUUUGUGUUUGGUGCUAGUGAGAAUAAUGUGGAGCUGAAGUUGGGGUUGGAAAAGGAAGAAUCAAGAGAGUGCAAUUCUGAUUCAGGUGCCUAUUAUGUAGGGAAGGGGAGAUCAAGGACUGAAGUUGAGCAUGGGAGGGAUGGUUCUGCGGGUUUUGAUUUUGGUGCUGAGAAGAGCAAUUUGGGGUCAAAUUUGAGUUUCGAGAAGGGAGAGUCUAGUGGUAUUGCGAAAGAUCCAGAUUCUAGUAAUACUGGGUUCAUAUUUGGUGCUACUGCCAGUACUUCCAGUGGAAAGAUGGGGAUUUCUGGUACUGGUUCUGUUUUUGGUGCUACUUGGUUUAAUUCAAGUGACAAGAACGAAUCUGGUGGAAGGCUUCAGAAUUUGGUCUCUGAUCAUGCAGAGAAGAUGGAAGUGGCUGAAAGAGCUCAUGAGGUCAAAGGUGCUGAAGUUAAGAUUGACAUUAAUGGAAUUGGGAGUUGGAAGGAAGAUUAUGAUAAGGUUCCCUAUAUAUUUGGUAGUAGCAGUAAGAAAAGCUCCAAUUCCCGAGAAUGCAUGGCUACCAGCUGCAAUGAUGAGGCAAAGUCUAGCAAUGGAAAUUUUGAAAGCUGUAACAGCUUUGCAAAGGCUCAAAAUGGUACUUCAGAUUCUAGCAAUGAUGGUAAGUGUAAACUUGGAUCAUUUGGAAACAGUAGUAACAUAGCUAAUGUUUUUAUGGCAAACCCUGUAUUUACUAAUAUCACCGAUGAGAUGAAAAAAUUGAAUAUUGAUGGUUCUAAUAACGUUGAUGGGUUGGACAAUAAGAAGUUUGUGUUUAGAAGCAAAAAAAUGACUUCUGCCUCUUCUAAUGGAGUUUCAGUCACUACUUCUCAUGAAUGGAAUUCAGAAGGUCUUAUUAAUACAGCUAAGGGCACUGAUGGUGAUCCAUUUGAAUCAACUGCUAAGAAGGAAAGUGUUAAUGUAGUUGGUGCUUCCACCGGAAUUUUCAAUUCUGAAACAAUUAGAUCUCAGAUAGGACUAGCAAAGACUUCUGCUGAAAGCUCGUUAUCUCAUAAUUCUCGUGGUCAAGUGAUUGACAAUACACAGCUAAAUGGAGCUGCUGCAUUGUCUUCGUUCUCAUCUAUUGGUCUUGAUUCCCAAGGCAAUGUUGAGGCAUCUGAACCACCUCCUAUGCCUGGGUUUGGAAAGGAAAAUGAUAAAAGUAGUUAUACAAGCACUGCAGAUAGAUUAGGAGUGUUUACAGAAUUCAAAACACCUCAGUGGGAUCCUUCUUGUUUAAAAGAAAGUCUAUUUCCUGAAUUAAAUAGAAAACUUGAAUUCAGUGUAAAGGGUAGAUCAAGAAAGGUCAAAAAGUCAAAGACACUGAGGGGAAAAUUGAAGCGACUGUCUCAAAAUAAGCAACAACAAGAGCAAGAUCAAGUGAAAAAUGGCAGUGCCCAAGAGGCUAUAAACUCCCCAGGAUGUUAUUCACCAAUGGAUUUUUCUCCUUAUGAGACUACCACAACUGAGAAGUUUUCAAGGGAAAAUUCCAGGAUAUCAAAUGAUUCCAUUUUCAUGGACAAGAAUGGCAUGUCUUCUGUCUUGCAUUCAACAGUGCCUAGCAGUCUCAAAGAUAGCGAAGGAUUAGAUCUUGAAAAAGGUGGUGAGACAAAUCUGGAGAAUGAUGUAUAUCAUUCUGAAAGAUGUUUUGUUGGUGAUUCUCCCACAAAACCGUUUGUUUUUGAAAUGGGAUGCUCUAAUUGCAACAGCGAGCCAGUCUGCACUAGUAGUGGUGCUGGUGUUUCUACUGUUAAAGAUACAUCUGGCAUAAACAUUGAAAGCAACCAUCAAAUACAUUUUAGUUUUGCUUCAGGUUUGGAAGAUGUAGAUGGGAGCAAAUUUUCCUUUUCUGCUUCAUCCUCUGCGCCAAAUAGUUCAUCUGCAGCCAAACGGCCACAUAGGAAGAAAAAUAGAAGAAAAGUUCCUUGUGAAACAUUUGUUAUUGGUGCAAACUCAAAUAAUAAGGAUCAAGAAGGAGAUUUAUCUACUUCACAACGAAAAUUGGGGAAUAAUUCUGGAGCAAACGAACUGUUGAAACAGGGUUCUAUGUCAUCCACUGCUGUUGCAAUUCAGGAAGCUUGUGAAACAUGGCGACUCAGGGGCAAUCAUGCUUAUAAAAGUGGAGAUUUGUCCAAAGCUGAAGAUUUCUACACACGUGGAAUAGAUUCUGUCCCUUAUAGUGAGAGAUCAGGAUGCUCCCUCAAGCCUCUUAUUAUUUGCUACAGCAACCGGGCAGCAACUCGAAUGUCUCUUGGAAACUUGAGGGAAGCUUUAAGGGAUUGUACAAUGGCUGCUGCUCUAGAUCCCAGAUUUCUCAAAGUUCAAAUGAGAGCUGCCAAUUGUUAUCUUGCACUGGGGGAAAUUGAAAAGGCACAGGUCCACUUCACUAAUUGCUUCGAGUCAGGGGAUUGUGUGUGUUUGGACCGGAGAAUCACAAUAGAAGCUGCUGAUGGCCUACAAAAAGCUCAGAAAGUGGCUGAGUGUAUGAAUCAUUCUGCCAAACUUUUUUCACAACAGACAUCUGAUGCAGCACUUAGUGCUUUAGACAUAAUUGCAGAGGCCUUGUCAAUUAGCCCAUAUUCAGAAAGAUUACUGGAAAUGAAAGCAGAGUCCAUGUUUAUGUUACGGAAGUAUGAAGAGGUGAUUCAGCUGUGUGAGCAGACUCUUUGUGCUGCUGAAAAGAAUUUCAUUUCAUCAGGCACCAAUGACCAGUUUGUAGAUAAAGACGAUUCUCGAACUGAUAGCCACUUAUUUGUGAGGCUGUGGAGGUGGUGCUUAAUAUCAAAGUCCUACUUUUAUUUGGGAAGGCUUGAAGCGGCUCUUGAUUUACUCGAGAAAUCAGAGCAAAUGGGAUCUAUAAGUGACAAGUACGCAAGCAAGAUACCAGAAGCAUCACUUUCAUUAGCAGUCACCAUACGUACUCUCUUGCAUCGUAAGAAGGCAGGUAAUGAAGCAUUUCGAUCAGGAAGGUACACAGAAGCAUUAGAGCAUUACACUGCAGCUGUAUCAAGCAAUGUUGAAUCACGUCCUUUUGCAGCUAUCUGUUUUUGCAACAGAGCUGCUGCACACCAAGCCUUGGGCCAAAUUGCUGAUGCCAUUGCUGAUUGCAGUCUAGCCAUAGCCCUUGAUGGAAAUUACUCAAAGGCAGUUUCCAGGAGAGCUUCCUUGGAUGAGAUUAUCAGAGACUAUGGACAAGCAGCCAAUGAUCUCCAAAGAUUCAUAACUUUACUUGAAAAUCAUUCUGAUGGAAAAGCUAGACGGUCUGGCACACCUGGUAGAUCCACCAGCAGUACAAAAGAAUUAAAGCAAGCUAAACGGCGUUUAUCCUUGAUGGAGGAAGAAGCUAAGAAAGGGAUACCAUUGGAUUUAUACCUUAUUUUGGGAGUUAAAGAAGCUGAUACAGCAGCCGAAAUGAAAAAGGCAUACCGUAAAGCAGCACUUAGACAUCAUCCAGAUAAGGCUGGUCAGUUCUUGCAAAGAAGUGAAGGUGGAGAUGAGGGGCGACUUUGGAAGGAUAUUGUCCAGGAGGUGCACAAGGAUGCUGAUCGGUUAUUUAAAAUGAUAGGAGAAGCAUAUGCUGUGCUCUCAGACCCAGCUAAGAGAUCAAAUUAUGAUCUAGAAGAGGAAAUUAGAAAAGCAUCGAAGGAAAACAAAGGAAGCCACCCUCCCAGAAGAACAUCAGAUGGUUACAGCUAUUCAUAUGGGAGGAGUAACCAUCAGCGAAAUUGGCAGGACAAUUGGAAUACAUAUGGUCAUUCACGUUCUCGAUGGUAAGAAACACAUGGAAGUCCUGGAUUUUUAUGUAAGUAAACAUUAUUUGGUAUUUAUAUCCAAAGUCACCUUAUUUGGAUCAAGAAGGUUGGAUCAAUUUUUAGUGGCACAAGUUUUGCAGUGGGUCUGUCAGGAAUCAGAAUUGAUAGCUGUCAGUCUGGUCUGUUACCAACCUUAGCUCCAGAAUGGAUCAAAUGUGAAGGCGCUGCCAUUUGUCUAAUAUUUGUUGCUCUGGACAUAUUUAAAGUAUAUUGGGUCUAAGAAAUUUAUAUGAUUUGCGAAGUUGAUGAUUAUAUGACUUGCGAAGAAGUUGACGAGAUUCUUUGUAAAGUUGGGAAGAUAUGGGAAGAGAAUGGUCUUGGAAGGCAAGUUCGUGCGCAUAAUCUAAGGCUAUGCCUUUGUCUCUUGGACACAUAGUUACGGAGGAAUUUUCUGGGUUUUUCAUGCAUUUCCUCCACAUCAGGAACACAGAAUAUACCUGAAAUUGUUUAGGAAGGCCUUACAUUUAUUAUUGAAACAAGUUGAAUGUUUUAUUAUCAUAAACUUCUAGCCUUUGCAGCAGUCUGGUUGCUG